UGCCAGCAGCCGCGGUAAUACGGAGGGGGCAAGCGUUGUUCGGAAUUACUGGGCGUAAAGCGCACGUAGGCGGACUUUUAAGUCUGAUGUGAAAGCCCGGGGCUCAACCCCGGAAGUGCAUUGGAAACUGGCGAACUUGAGUACGGGAGAGGAAAGUGGAAUUCCGAGUGUAGGGGUGAAAUCCGUAGAUAUUCGGAGGAACACCAGUGGCGAAGGCGGCUUUCUGGACCGAUACUGACGCUGAGGUGCGAAAGCGUGGGGAGCAAACAGGAUUAGAUA
rnacentral:rRNA from 1 species